rnacentral:rRNA from 1 species
UGACCUACGGGACGCAGCAGUGGGGAAUAUUGGGCAAUGGGCGCAAGCCUGACCCAGCAACGCCGCGUGAAGGAAGAAGGCUUUCGGGUUGUAAACUUCUUUUAAGAGGGAAGAGCAGAAGACGGUACCUCUUGAAGAAGCCACGGCUAACUACGUGCCAGCAGCCGCGGUAAUACGUAGGUGGCAAGCGUUAUCCGGAAUUACUGGGUGUAAAGGGUGUGUAGGCGGGGCUGCAAGUCAGAUGUGAAAAUUAUGGGCUCCACCCAUAACCUGCGUCUUAAACUGUAGCUCUUUA